UACGUAGGGGGCAAGCGUUAUCCGGAUUUACUGGGCGUAAAGGGCGUGUAGGCGGCUGCACAAGUCGUGCGUGAAAGCUCCCGGCUCAACUGGGAGAGGUCGUGCGAUACUGUGUGGCUUGAGCGCAGUAGGGGAAGGCGGAAUUCCCGGUGGAGCGGUGAAAUGCGUAGAGAUCGGGAGGAACACCAGUGGCGAAGGCGGCCUUCUGGACUGUUGCUGACGCUGAGGCGCGAAAGCGUGGGGAGCGAACAGG
rnacentral:rRNA from 1 species